rnacentral:rRNA from 1 species
AGGGUUUGAUCAUGGCUCAGGACGAACGCUGGCGGCGUGCGUAACCCAUGCAAGUCGAACGAGCAGAUUUCCUUCGGGGAAGAAGCGAGUGGCGGACGGGUGAGUAACGCGUGAACAACCAACCCUAUACAGGGGGACAACAGCUGGAAACGGCUGCUAAUACCGCAUAAGACCACAAGGCCGCAUGGCCAAGGGGUCAAAGGAGCAAUCCGGUAUAGGACGGGUUCGCGUCCCAUUAGCUAGUAGGCGGGGUAAAGGCCCACCUAGGCGACGAUGGGUAGCCGAGCUGAGAGGCUGACCGGCCACACUGGGACUGAGAUACGGCCCAG